GGGAAUAGAAAUGUUAUUGGAUAGGAAUGUGGAUCGAAUGUUACUCGAAUACAUUAUACAUAAUGAUGUUUACUUGACUCGGGACAGAUAUGAAUAAUAGUGUUAUAUUAGUUAAAGAACAUAAGUCAAUAGCUAUGUGACACAAAAUAAUCAACUUGCAACAUAUAAUAUUUCAGAUAGGAAUAGGCAUUUUCUCGAAUUCGAACAUCGGAUAUUUCGGAUUACUUUGCCACUUUCCACCCUUACCUACUCUCAUCGGCAGGAUCUGUCGCCUAAGGGCUCCAUUCUCUUGAAUUCAAAAUACACCUGUGUCAACUAGGUUGGCAGCCAAGGAAGUCAAGGCAUGCGCACAUGACAGUGAGCCUGGGUUCUCAGUCACUGGAACCUUCGUUGCUGCCACGUUUCGCGCGAGCAGGGCAUCUGUGUGCAUUUUUCAGAACUUGUCAUCAGAAUCAACCAUUUUCUGAGUGAAUUCAUUUACAAAAGGGCAAGAAAAAUGAAGAUGAACCGCCAACCCUGGCAUGUGGCAUCAAGGAACCUUUGUUGCAAUGCAUGUCCAUGGAGGCAGGUAAGAUGCGUCGACGUGCAGCCCAUCAGCUGUGCAUGCAUGAGUUCAGGACCAUCUUCAGAAUUAUUAAUCCAUCAGCUGGUGUUCAUUGCAUCCUCGAUGACCAUUUCUUUCUGCCACACAGUCCACUCAAUUGUCGCUCUGCUAAGGAGAAAUAGUCGCUCUAAUCUUGGGCCCGUUUUUUUUACNCUUACAUACAAACAAGUGAGUUAGCU
rnacentral:lncRNA from 1 species